CACUUAUCCAAUUGACUAUAUCUAGGAGGGGAUUGAUAUACGCAAAACUUGAAAGCCACGUUAACACCUGCUGACAAAGUUUUCCACACGCUUACAUUUUUAAUGGAACCGAGUAGGCAGGGGAAGACUGGGAGGGCAGAGAGUGAAGAGACUUGGAAUAAUAUGAGAACCGGCAAGACUAUCUUUGAUUUAGAUUUUGUAUGGAGUCCUGCGAAGAGUCAUUUCACUAAGACGUUAAUGCUCAUCCGAUGACACUACUUGAAAAGUGUAUUAAGUUUAUUGAUGUUUUAUAGCUGAUGGAAGUCACAAUAUGCUCUCCUCAUGACUCAUUAGUUGCCUUUAUAGUUGUCAGAACUUUACUGAGGCUCUUUCCGCAGCACUGGAGUGACCCCUCUGUCCUCUGCCUGCAGUAAUUAACAAUUCGUCUUUCAAGUUUUCCUAUGGAGUCUAAGCUGCUGCAAUCCUCAAACCAGAUUUACUAGUGCUGUCUUCACUACUGCAGACUUCUGACUUCUCAUUUUUCACCCUUUUCUUUUUCACCAGAACUUGUUUGCUUCAUUCUUAUGUACCUACCUUUGCACCUUGUAAUCAUCCUUUAUGCCUCAGAUUGUUAUUUUGUGUCAGUAAGUAAUCCAUAAAGUGCCAACAUGGGAAAGAAACGGACAAAGGGAAAAACUGUUCCAAUCGAUGAUUCCUCUGAAACUUUAGAACCUGUGUGCAGACACAUUAGAAAAGGAUUGGAACAAGGUAAUUUGAAAAAGGCUUUAGUGAAUGUGGAAUGGAAUAUCUGCCAAGACUGUAAGACUGACAAUAAAGUGAAAGAUAAAGCUGAAG
rnacentral:lncRNA from 1 species